UGAAUAAGCACCGGCUAACUACGUGCCAGCAGCAGCGGUAAUAAGUAGGGUGCAAGCAUUAUCCGUAGUGAAUUGGGCGUAAAGAGUUGCUCGCAGGUUUUGUUAAGUGAAGGUAAGGAAUCAUGGCUCAAAGCCCACAAUAGUAUCAAACGGGCAAACUCGGGAAGGGAUGGGGGGGCUGGAAUUUCCUGGUAGGAGUAAAAUCCGUUAAUUUAAGAAGGAACACCAAGGGCGUAAGCAGGUUACUGGACCAUUUCUGACACUGAGGCACGAAAGCGUGUGGAGCGAACCGGAUUAGAUACCCGGGUAGUCCACGCCGUAAACUAUGGAUACUAGCUGUUGGAGGUAUCGACCCCUUCAGUAGCGAAGCUAACGCG
rnacentral:rRNA from 1 species